rnacentral:rRNA from 1 species
CGCGGCCUAUCAGCUUGUUGGUGGGGUAACGGCCUACCAAGGCGACGACGGGUAGCUGGUCUGAGAGGACGACCAGCCACACUGGGACUGAGACACGGCCCAGACUCCUACGGGAGGCAGCAGUGGGGAAUCUUGCGCAAUGGGCGAAAGCCUGACGCAGCGACACCGCGUGGGGGAUGAAGGCCUUUCAGGUCGUAAACCCCUUUCGGCAGGGACGAAGCGAUCUCGUGACGGUACCUGCAGAAGAAGCCUCGGCUAACUACGUGCCAGCAGCCGCGGUAACACGUAGGAGGCGAGCGUUGUCCGGAAUCAUUGGGCGUAAAGAGCGCGCAGGCGGCUUGGCAAGUCGAGUGUGAAAUCCCGGGGCUCAACCCCGUGACUGCAUCCGAUACUGUCAGGCUAGAGGUAGGUAGGGGAGAUCGGAAUUCCUGGUGUAGCGGUGAAAUGCGCAGAUAUCAGGAGGAACACCGGUGGCGAAGGCGGAUCUCUGGGCCUUACCUGACGCUCAGGCGCGAAAGCUAGGGGAGCGAACAGGAUUAGAUACCCUGGUAGUCCUAGCCGUAAACGUUGGGUGCUAGGUGUGGGCGGAUAUCAACCCCGUCCGUGCCGAAGCUAACGCAUUAAGCACCCCGCCUGGGGAGUACGG